rnacentral:rRNA from 1 species
ACGAACGCUGGCGGCGCGCCUAACACAUGCAAGUCGAACGGAGAUUACCGGAUGAAGUUUUCGGAUGGAUGAAGGUAAUUUUAGUGGCGGACGGGUGAGUAACACGUGAGGAACCUGCCUUUCAGAGGGGGAUAACGUUUGGAAACGAACGCUAAUACCGCAUAAGAUUGUAGUUCUGCAUGGGACAGCAAUCAAAGGAGCAAUCCGCUGAGAGAUGGCCUCGCGUCCGAUUAGAUAGUAGGCGGGGUAACGGCCCACCUAGUCGACGAUCGGUAGCCGGACUGAGAGGUUGAACGGCCACAUUGGGACUGAGACACGGCCCAGACUCCUACGGGAGGCAGCAGUGGGGGAUAUUGCACAAUGGGCGAAAGCCUGAUGCAGCGACGCCGCGUGAGGGAAGACGGUCCUCUGGAUUGUAAACCUCUGUCUUCGGGGACGAAAGAAAUGACGGUACCCGAGGAGGAAGCUCCGGCUAACUACGUGCCAGCAGCCGCGGUAAUACGUAGGGAGCAAGCGUUGUCCGGAUUUAUUGGGCGUAAAGGGAACGCAGGCGGUCUUUUAAGUCUGAUGUGAAAGCCUUCGGCUUAACCGAAGUAGUGCAUUGGAAACUGGAAGACUUGAGUGCAGAAGAGGAGAGUGGAACUCCAUGUGUAGCGGUGAAAUGCGUAGAUAUUAGGAGGAACACCAGUGGCGAAGGCGGCCUGCUGGGCUUUUACUGACGCUGAGGCUCGAAAGCAUGGGGAGCAAACAGGAUUAGAUACCCUGGUAGUCCAUGCCGUAAACGAUGAUUACUAGGUGUGGGGGGACAAUCCUUCCGUGCCGGAGUUAACACAAUAAGUAAUCCACCUGGGGAGUACGACCGCAAGGUUGAAACUCAAAGGAAUUGACGGGGGCCCGCACAAGCAGUGGAGUAUGUGGUUUAAUUCGAAGCAACGCGAAGAACCUUACCAGGUCUUGACAUCGUGCGCAUACCAUAGAGAUAUGGGAAAUCCUUCGGGACGCAUAGACAGGUGGUGCAUGGUUGUCGUCAGCUCGUGUCGUGAGAUGUUGGGUUAAGUCCCGCAACGAGCGCAACCCUUGUUACUAGUUGCUACGCAAGAGCACUCUAGUGAGACUGCCGUUGACAAAACGGAGGAAGGUGGGGAUGACGUCAAAUCAUCAUGCCCCUUAUGACCUGGGCUACACACGUACUACAAUGGCGAUAAACAGAGGGUCGCGAAAUGGUGACAUGGAGCCAAUCCUCAAAAAUCGUCUCAGUUCAGAUUGCAGGCUGCAACCCGCCUGCAUGAAGUCGGAAUUGCUAGUAAUCGCGGAUCAGCAUGCCGCGGUGAAUACGUUCCCGGGCCUUGUACACACCGCCCGUCACACCAUGGGAGUCGGUAACACCCGAAGCCAGUAGUCUAACCGGAAACGGAGGGCGCUGUCGAAGGUGGGAUUGAUGACUGGGGUG